AGAGUUGAUCAUGGCUCAGGAUAAACGCUGGCGGCGCACAUAAGACAUGCAAGUCGAACGGACGAAAUCGGAUUCUUUACGAUCUGAUCAAGUUAGUGGCGGACUGGUGAGUAACGCGUGAGCAACCUACCUACGAGAGGGGAACAACAGAGAGAAAUUUUCUGCUAAUACCGCAUAAGCUGAUAGGAUCGCAUGAUCUAGUCAGAAAAGGAGCAAUCCGCUCAUAGAUGGGCUCGCGUCCGAUUAGCUAGUUGGUUAGGUAACGGCUGACCAAGGCAACGAUCGGUAGCCGGACUGAGAGGUUGAACGGCCACAUUGGGACUGAGAUACGGCCCAGACUCCUACGGGAGGCAGCAGUCGGGAAUAUUGCGCAAUGGAAAGGAAACUCUGACGCAGUGACGCCGCGUAUAGGAAGAAGGUUUUCGGAUUGUAAACUAUUGUCGUUAGGGAAGAGAAAGGACGGUACCUAAGGAGGAAGCCCCGGCUAACUAUGUGCCAGCAGCCGC
rnacentral:rRNA from 1 species